CAACAUGAGAACCAUCCUUAUGGAAAUAUAGACCAACAAGUUUUUCUUUAUAUUUGCAGGUCGUGUUGCCCAUUUAAAUACACAUGACGAACUACUUCCCUUCAAGGAUGUCAUUGCAAAGGUUAUUUAUGAUUUUGGUGGAGCUUUGAAAGAUCACUUGGUGAGAUGGGAAGCUUGUUGUCAUUAUAAGAAGGACGGAGCUAUGGGCAUCGUGAACCUUGUGUAUCAAAACCUAUGCCUACUGAUUAUAUUUCUUACUAGAGACCUUGAGAAGUUAGCUCUCAAAUAUAUGACUCUUUCUUCCCUUGAUCAGGUUUCUUUCAAACCUUUAGAACAACAAAAGGAAACUGAGUAGAAAGAGAGCCGGACCAAGGGAAGAGAGGAAAGAUCAGAGAAAGGGAGAAAGCAGCCGGUUCCUUCCUCCAUUGUGCAGACCCGCGCAAAGAGCAGCUGGUUUCUUUCUCCACCGCGCCCAGAGCCGCGCGACCCAGUUUCUUCUUCCACCGCACGCAGAGAUGCAAAGAAGCUCUCAGUUUCCUUCUUCUCCAGCCGCAUGUAGAGAUGCACGACCUAGUUCCUUCUUCCACCACACGCAAAGACGCGAAGAAGCUCUCGGUUUCCUUCUUCUUCAGCCGUACGCAGAGCCGCGAGACCACCUCCGGUUCCUUCUCCCUCCGCACGCAGAGAUGCGCGAAGAUACAAUCGUCCCAGCUUCUUCCGCCACGCGCAGAGCUGCAGGAAGAGCUGCACGAUCCAGUUUCACUUCCGCCUCGUGUAGAGCUGCACGCAGAAGCUUUUCUGGCCGCGAUUUGCUUUUUUUUUCUGGCCACCGUGUACUGCAGAUCUGCCUGAGCCAAGGAAGCCGUUGAGCCGAGCAGAUUUCAACCCGAGCGGAGCCACUGCACUAAGCCGAGCCGUUUUUCAGUCCGAGUUGAGCCGUUUUUUAGCCAAGCCGCUUUUGAGCCGAGCCGCUUUUGAGCCCAGGGGAGCGAGGCAGACAAUUAGACGUACAUGAUUUCAAUAUUUAUCUAUCAUUUUUUGGUUAUUUUGGUACAGAUUAAGAGGUUUGGUUUUUAUUAUUGGCUAUUUUCUUCUUAUCUUUAGUACUCUAAAAGUGGCAGAAACAAAAAGAGUGAUGGUUUCAUAUUCGGAUGAUUCUUCGUUACAAAUUAAUUGUAUAAAACUUGAUAGUACUAAUUAUCUUGUUUGGUUAAGAUUUUAUGUAUUGUUUAUUGAAAUUAGAGAAUUUGGUUAAGAUUUUAUGUAU